GCCAGCGGUGAAGGAGUGUGGUGCCGUGGGGACAGACUACACACGCGGCUCGCACACCGUCAGCUGAUUGUAUAGCAGAGCUGUGUCAACCGCUCACCCCAGUCGUCUGUCUGUCUGUGGCCGGUCCGUUGAGCCCGGUUCAGACGGCACGCCGCGACGAGGACGUAUCGAUCUGAGGGAGGUGAAGCUCGCUCGGCACCAUGCGGGUGGUCGGGCUGCUCGCGCUCCUGCCGCUGCUGGCGCUCCUGCCGGCCCCGGCAGAGGCUAUCUCACCGGCCGCCAUCGCCGCCGAGCUGACCCGAAUGAGGUCACGACCCCGGCCGCGCAUGCGCAGAUCCGUGGUGGAGACAAACACACAUGGAGAGGCCGACCGGACGACGACCAUCAGUCAUGGCGGUGAGCACGCGGUGGUGCACGGUGAGCACAGUGAGCACGGUGCCGGCUCAGCUCACUCGGGCUCUCACGGAGACGUGGUCACCAUGACCUACUGUUUCGAGUCUGAGGAGGUCCACGAGAGCCACGGUAUCCACGUGGCCUCGUGGCGAUGGACCGAGGUGCAGACCUAUUACGCCAUUACGCUCUUCAUCGUUAUUGCCGGCCUCGCCAAACUCGCGUUCCACCACGCCCACUUCCUGUCGUCAAAGCUGCCCGAGUCCUGUCUGCUGAUCAUUCUCGGCAUCUUUAUGGGUAUCAUCACAUAUCACAUACGACACAGGGUGUUCUGGUUCCUGCCCGGUUACCGCUCCGGCGCCGGGGGUGCUCCGAACGAUGGCAAUGAAGACGGGCCGAACAUCCGGUUUGAAAACGGCACCGUGGUGCCUCCCUGUGAGGACGAGUUCGCCGGAUUCUUCCCGAAGUUUGACGCGGAGCUGUUCUUCCUAGUCCUUCUGCCGCCGAUCGUACUGGAGGCCUCCUACUCACUCCACGAUCGGGCGUUCAUGGACAACCUGGGAUCGGUGCUCAUCUUCGCCGUCGUUGGCACGCUGUUCAACAUGUUCAUUAUCAGCCCUGCGCUGUGGGGCCUGGCCAAGGCGGGCGCCAUGGGCUCCAGCAUGAUCCCGGCCGACCAUUACGACGUCUCCCAGAUCAGCCUGGUGCAGAUGCUGACGUUCGGCUCGCUGAUCGUGGCCGUGGACCCGGUGGCGGUGCUGGCCAUCUUCCAGGAGGUCGGCGUCAACAAGGACCUCUACUUCCUCGUCUUCGGAGAGAGUCUCCUCAACGACGCCGUCACUGUGGUGCUCUAUAACGCCAUGGUGGUGUUCGCCAACUCGGAGGACGUACCAGUGACCUACGACCAGGUACUGCUCGCCAUAGCCGCCUUCUUCUGUGUGUCGCUGGGCGGUCUGGCCAUCGGUAUCGUGUUCGGCGUGCUGACGGCUAUCAUCACCAAAUACACGCCCGACGUCAGGGUGGUGGAGCCUCUGUCCCUACUGGCGAUGGCCUACCUGGCCUACCUCUCUGCCGAGCUGGUCCACUUUUCGGGUAUCAUCGCCUGCGUCGGCUGCGGCGUCGUACAGGCCCACUACGCCAUGAAGAAUAUCUCAAAGAACUCGUACAUUACCAUCAAGUACUUCAUCACCAUGGCGAGCUCCACCAGCGACACCAUCAUCUUCAUGUUUCUGGGAAUGGUGCUGGUCAGUGACGAUCAUAAGUGGCACACGGGAUUCGCCCUCUGGACGCUGGUGCUCUGUUUAGUGGUGCGCUUUGUCGGCGUAUAUCUGCUGUGUUGGAUGGCCAAUUUCCGCCGUCUGCGCCGUAUCGGUAAGAAGGAGCAGUUCAUCAUGGCGUACGGCGGUCUGCGCGGCGCCGUCGGCUUCUCGCUGGUGGUCAUGCUGCGGGACUCACAGAUCGACCCGAUGACGGUGCGCAUCUUCGUCACCACUACCCUCUUCAUCAUUCUGUUCACCGUGUUCAUUCAGGGCUCUACGAUCAAGCUGCUGGUGAGCCUGUUCAACAUCAAGCUGGAGGAGACGGAGGACCCCACGCUGGCCGAGGAGAUAGCUGCCACCACCGUGGACCACAUCACGGCAGGAGUCGAGGAGAUCAUCGGGUACCGCGGCACCAACUUCUUCAAGGAGCGGCUGGAGCACUUUGACGAAAAGUACCUGAAGCCGCUGCUGAUCAGUGACAGCCUCGACUCGAGUCUUGCGCGUCUGUACGACAAACUGGUGUUGGACGAGCACUACGCCAAUCUGUACGGCCCGGCGGCCGCCGCCGAGACCAAGAAGGUCGACAUCGUCGGCUCUGGAGAGGGCGACUUUUUCCUGCCGGAGGAGGAGAUGGUGCACCUGCGCCGGCGUCAGGAGGCGCUACGUCGCCAACUGUCCCAGCAGAGCUCGAUCGGGGCCCGCCCGCUCAGCCGGCUGGGCACGCUCAGGGAGCGGCUGUCCCGGCGGCUCUCCACCACUUCAGCGUCGCCGGCUCAGGCGCAGUCAGUGGACGUGGAGCAUGGCUCAGGCACGGCGCCGGGCACGCCGCUCAGCGGCCGAUUCAACCCGGACGACAACUACAAGACGUUCCCGGCCGACGGACACCUGCUGAGGAAGGCCUUCAGGAGCAACCCCUACAACAAGCUGCACCUGCGCUACAACCCCAACCUGAUCGACGAGGAAGACCAGGAGAUCGACACUCACCUACGGCGGCGGCGCAUGAACGCGCAGCGCUUCAGCCAGAUCGCCCAGCUGGCGCUACAGCAGGAGCGAGCCGAGGAGGACGCAGCCGGACCGCUGCGGCGCACCGCCUCAGGCGAGAUGGACUCGUCGUCCGAGUCGCUCCCACGCGCCGCAUCCACCAACGCCGCCGGACCGCGCGUGGGCAGUCUGCGCGUGGCCGGCGUCAAGGACAUGGUGAUGGACCAGCAGCGGCGCGCCGCCGAGCGCCAGCGCACCCGCUACAAGUCGGCGCCCUCGUACGCCACGCCCGGCUCUGGCUCCACGCUGGACAGCGAGCCCACCACGCCGGUGCUGGGGCCCAUCACCGAGGAGUCGGGCCGGCCGGAGGACCGCGAGCUGCUGCCGCGCGCGCCGCCCGCGCCCGGCGACAGCCGACACCCGCUGCAGGCCGAGAUGGACCGGCCCAGGCCCCCGCCGCUGCAGCGGGCAGACGCGGCCGACGCCGGCACCGCCACACCGGCGCGCAGCGUCUCAGAGUCAGAGGUGCCCGAACGGGGGCCGCGGGGGCCGGGCGCCGGACAGGGCAGCGGGUAUCAGGAGAGCGGUCCGCUGUAGGAACACCGCGUCCUCGGCCGGGGAGGGAGGGUAGAGCUGUAAAGGACGGGGAAUCGGGCAUCGGUGGGAGGAUGGCUGGACGGGAGAUCAGCGGUUCUGAGGAGGCUCAGCUCGCCGAACUGCGCUGGAACGUCGCCAAAGUGCGCUGCCUGGCGCUGUCUUGUCGCUGAAAUGCGCUGUCCGGUCGCUAUCUGGACUCGGUGAAGUCGCUAGCUAGCUGUUUCAGCUGUUUCUGUUGAGUCCAGAGUCUGAUAGAUUUGGACGCUAAGAAUCGACAGAAGAUAAGAGUCCGGGGCUCAACUCAACUCACCAGUUCAACUCAAGCGCAGGCCAUGUUCGGCUGUGGAGAUUUGGAAGUACAGGAUUGAAGAAUGUUUGCGGUAUGGCCUACUCCCUUAUUUUCUACGCAGCUGCCUGCUGACAUAAUAAUUCUGUUUAAGUCGCUGAGUGUUCCCGUCUCAUCACAUCGGAACUCUGAGUCGAAAUGGUGCUUCCACUACGUCAUACAUGCUUAGUGACUGUCUCCAGCUUCCACGAGUUAUCCAGACAAAGUUGCGCUGCGUCAAGACCGUCCGACCCUAGGUGAUCAAGAUAUUGUCCGGCUAUUGUCUGAGCAGCGAGAGAAGUUAGCCAUGCGAGCGUUUCUAUAAAGUUACGGCAGAUAUCACGGAUAUAGGUCGUCAAGGAUCAUGGGUGGGUGCCGAGCACAGGUCAGCUGAUGAAGUUCGUCUUACCGAGACGGUGCCUGUCAAUGGUUUCCAAAUGGUGCCCAAAGCGGCGCUCUGGUUGUGAGCCUUCGUUGACCUGCUUGUGCCAGGUCGAGUUAUUCAUGACGGGUUGCCAAAGCAUGUUCCGUGAGAUUGCGCCACCAGAGUAGUUUGCCGUGCGCAUGUGUGUUUAUUUCUGUUAGCGCUGCCUUUUGCUGAAGCUGCCCGCGUCUGACUGUAGUGGCUGGCUGUUUCUGUGUCCGAAUGGCAGUAUUAGUUUCAAGGUUGUGUUCUGACGUCACAGGCUCGUCGGUCGCUCGUUUUCAGCGGUCGGUGUCCCCGUGUCGCCUUGUGUACUUAAUCUCCUGAUUGAUCACCAGAUUUGCUUGAAUCGCCCCUGUCUAACAGCGUGAUCCUUGCAUCUAUACAGCGGAUUCAUUGCGCAGAACGCUACGGGCGGCGAUAGUAUCAAUUAUUUAUCACCAAGCAUUUUGUAUUGUAAUUUACCAUAUUUUUACUUUGAAUUAGCAUUUAUCAUGAGCUAGAUGAAGCGCCACACAGGGCAAUAUUGGUCUGUUGACUCGCUCUUUCACAUUGGCGUCUCAUGCUGUAUGGCUGGUUGGAAGAUGUGUAUUGUGGAAGUCGUCGCAUGGUCGAUGGGACAUGGUCGGUUCCUUAGGUCGGCUCGGGACCGUGUGGACUACUGCCAUUCAGUCGUCCCCGUCGGCCCCGCUAACUGUGUGUGGUACUAAUAUGUCCCGCCAGAGUGCAUGUGUGCUGAGCGUAGGAGCGUCUCCAUAACUUCAGACUCCAAGAGUAUAUAUAUAUGUGGGUUUGGGUGGAAGGGCGGGGUGCUGAACCGUACGAUCGUGUACCAACUCGGUACAGUCAUCUGUGUAGACUGCCGAAUGCCGAAGUCCGGGGAUGUGGGGGAACCGGGGGGGGGGGGGGGGUGCAGCCAUAGGGACAAACCUGGGGAGGGAGGGCGAAAGUCGCUCCUUAACGCGACUACGACACGAUUGCAGUAUGUUUGGGGAUGGUUUAUGGCCUCUGAAGGCGCCUUUUUGUACCCACUCGGGCGAUGGCUGAUUGUUGUGUUGAGAUGAAAGCGUGUGGGGUCGUACGGGAUGCCUGAAGGAACAAAUGUGCGUAUUCGCUCUGUUCACCAUCGCGCGCUGUAAGCAGGAGAGUGAUGAUUUUUUUGUUAUGUGGUGCGACUUAUCGGGAACAGACCAAUAAGUUGCGAUAAAAUACACGAUUUAUGAUUCGUAAA
rnacentral:misc_RNA from 1 species